rnacentral:rRNA from 1 species
GACGAACGCUGGCGGCGUGCUUAACACAUGCAAGUCGAACGGAAAGGCCCUGCUUUUGUGGGGUGCUCGAGUGGCGAACGGGUGAGUAACACGUGAGUAACCUGCCCUUGACUUUGGGAUAACUUCAGGAAACUGGGGCUAAUACCGGAUAGGAGCUCCUGCUGCAUGGUGGGGGUUGGAAAGUUUCGGCGGUUGGGGAUGGACUCGCGGCUUAUCAGCUUGUUGGUGGGGUAGUGGCUUACCAAGGCUUUGACGGGUAGCCGGCCUGAGAGGGUGACCGGCCACAUGGGGACGGAGAUACGGCCCAGACUCCUACGGGAGGCAGCAGUGGGAAUAUUGCACAAUGGGCGGAAGCCUGAUGCAGCAACGCCGCGUGCGGGAUGACGGCCUUCGGGUUGUAAACCGCUUUCGCCUGUGACGAAGCGUGAGUGACGGUAAUGGGUAAAGAAGCACCGGCUAACUACGUG